AGAGCACACACAGCAGUGUAUGUGUGUGUGUGUGUGUGUGUGUGUAUGUAUAUAUAUAUAUAUACACACACACACACACACACACACAUAUACAUGCGGCGU